UACGUAGGUGGCGAGCGUUGUCCGGAUUUACUGGGCGUAAAGAGCGCGCAGGCGGCUGGUCAAGUCCGAUGUGAAAGCUCCCGGCUUAACUGGGAAAUUGCAUCGGAAACUGAUCGGCUGGAAGGUGGGAGAGGGUAGCGGAAUUCCCGGUGUAGUGGUGAAAUGCGUAGAUAUCCGGAGGAACACCAGUGGCGAAGGCGCUGUCCUGGGCCACCUCUGACGCUGAUACGCGAAGGCGUGGGGAGCGAACGGG
rnacentral:rRNA from 1 species